rnacentral:rRNA from 1 species
CCUACGGGUGGCAGCAGUGGGGAAUAUUGCACAAUGGGGGAAACCCUGAUGCAGCGACGCCGCGUGAGUGAAGAAGUCUUUCGGUACGUAAAGCUCUAUCAGCAGGGAAGAAAAUGCCGGUACCUGACUACUAAUCCCCGGCCAACUACGUCCCAGCAUCCGCGGUAAGACGCAGGGGGCAAGCGUUAUCCGGAUUUGCUGGGUGUAAAGGGAGCGUAGACGGCAGCGCAAGUCUGGAGUGAAAUCCCAUGGCUUAACCAUGGAACUGCUUUGGAAACUGGGCAGCUAGAGUGCAGGAGAGGUAGGCGGAAUUCCUAGUGUAGCGGUGAAAUGCGUAGAUAUUAGGAGGAACACCGGUGGCGAAGGCGGCUUACUGGACUGUAACUGACGUUGAGGCUCGAAAGCGUGGGGAGCAAACAGGAUUAGAUACCCCAGUAGUC